rnacentral:rRNA from 1 species
UACGUAGGGUGCAAGCGUUAAUCGGAAUUACUGGGCGUAAAGCGUGCGCAGGCGGUUUUGUAAGUCAGAUGUGAAAUCCCCCGGGCUUAACCUGGGAACUGCGUUUGAAACUACAAGGCUAGAGUGUGGCAGAGGGGGGGUGGAAUUCCCGGUGUAGUGGUGAAAAUGCGUAGAUAUCGGGAGGAACACCAGUGGCGAAGGCGACUUCCUGGCCUGUUCUUGACGCUGAGGCGCGAAAGCUAGGGGAGCAAACGGGG